GACCGCGGCCUGCGCGUAGAGGAGGCGCCGCCCGCCCGCCCGCCGUCGUUGCGUGACAUUGCCGCCGCUGCCCCAACCCCAACCCCAGCGAGGAGCGGCCGGGGAAGGAGACGGCAAUGUCUGUCGCCGAGCUGCCGGAGGAAACGCAUAGGGAGACCAAGUGAUGUGCAGAACAAAAGAUCAAACUGGAGUCGGGAAAAGUACUGCAGCCCCCCUGCAUCUGUGUGUUUGAUAUUUGAAACAUCUGUAUUUAUAAAUUAUGAUAAACAUGUCACCUUAGAGGAUUCUGCCAAUGAGAAUUGCUUUGCAAGUACAUUAUUAUUCUGGACCACUUUCUAACUAGUCCACCGUCCAGUAAUAAGACCCAAGAAAGCGUCCAACUUGCUUACUGCAAAUGGAUCAGAAGAGAGCUGGAACAUAUUGGUGAUUAACAUUACUUGAAAAAUGACAUUUAUUUUGUACCACUGCAUUUUGCAUUAAAAUACCUCCCCUCCAGAGGGAACAACACCCUUCAGGCAUUGCAUGUCGCGCAUUAAGAGCACUUUAGACUCUGUGUCAAAAGCUGUCAGUACCACGCACACUGAGCUCAUUGGGAAACUUGUACGGUUGAAGCCCACUCUAAGUAUUUCAGUGAAACAUUCGGAAACUGAGAUUGCAGUGCCACAUGAAAGCUCAGAGAAACUAACCACUACUAAGUCGAACACAGUGAAGGAUGGUUUGGAUCUGAACCAAACCACAGAGGAUACCAUUCAUUCUGUUUCCAUCACCCCUGUUGGCUCAGAACUUGAAGACAAUUCUAACAAGAAAUUAUCUGGUAAUAGUGCAAUUAAUAGAGAGAAAGAUGAAAAAUCAAAUCUUUUCCAUGUCAGCUGCAUCGCGACAAAUUUUGGUGAAACGUACAAUUAUGUGGCAAAUCAUAUCAACAGUUAUUUUGGAAGUGGGGAGCAAAUAGAUACAGCAAAAGAGAAUAAAUUAUCAUUGUUUGACCAAAAAGGUUGGUCCAAGAAGAAUCCCAUAUGGACAGCAACUUCUAAAUCAAAAAUGAACGAAGUAGAUGAUAAAGAAAUCGAUGGUUUAAAUAUUGGCAGUGAACACACUGCUGCAGCUGAUGUGCCUUCAUCAACUGCAUCUGCAAAGAAGAGUUUUGCUAGCUUGCUCUCAUACCCAACAAAUAGUGUUCAAGCAUUCGUGGAUACCUGCUUUGGUAGUUUUGUUCCCAAGGUGCGGCCUGAAAUUAAAGACGCUGCUGAAAUCAAGAAAAAAAAGCUGAAGAGUGAAAGCACAAUGAAAGAUGACGAGCGACCUGAUGACAAAGAAGCCAAGCCAGCAGAUGAUAAAGUCAAGUAUUUGGCUCUUCAGCGAGAAAAGAUCAUUGCUAAGUUUAGUGUGGAUAACAGGACAAGAGCCUUGGCGCAAGCACUACGCCGAGCUUCGAAUGUUAGACUGUGCAUCAAUCGAGUUGAGGAACUGAAUUACCACCUUCUAGAAUUUCCUGAAACCAGGGCAGUGGCUGUCAAGGAGAAGCUAAUUCCUUGCUUGUUACGCCUGAGGCAGGCAAAUGAUGAAACUCUUCAGAGUGCAGUCAGAGAGUCUCUGGCUUUAAUUGGAUAUUCCAAUCCUAUUAAAGGCCGCGGUAUAAGAAUCUUGGCUAUUGAUGGAGGAGGAACAAGGGGACUGAUUGCUCUUCAGACCCUCCGUAAACUUGAAGAAUUGACAGGAAAACAAGUCUAUCAGCUCUUCGACUACAUCUGUGGGGUUAGCACAGGUGCCAUACUAGCAUUUAUGUUGGGGUUUUUCCAGAUUCCAUUGGACGAGUGUGAGGAAAUGUACCGAAAAUUAGGUACAGAUGUAUUUAAACAGAACGUAAUAAUGGGAACUAUGAAAAUGGGCUGGAGCCAUGCCUUUUAUGAGAGUGAACCCUGGGAAAAAAUACUGAAGGAAAGAAUGGGUGAAGAUUUUUUAAUUCAAACUGCAAGAAAUCCUAAAAGCCCCAAGGUAGCAGUUGUGAGUACUGUAGUGAACAAGGGGACACCACUGAAAGCAUUCGUCUUCAGAAACUACAAUCACCUACCUGGUAUAAGAUCGCAUUAUAUGGGUGGGUGUAAAUUUAAACUCUGGCAAGCCAUCCGAGCAUCUUCAGCUGCACCCGGCUAUUUUCAGGAAUAUGCUAUUGGCAACGACCUUCAUCAGGAUGGUGGCUUGCUCAUCAACAAUCCUUGUGCACUGGCCAUACACGAGUGCAAACGCAUUUGGCCAAACACACCCUUUCAAUGUGUGAUCUCACUUGGAACGGGACGCUUUGAAACAUUGGGGAAAAACAACGUGACUUACACAAGUCUUAAAACCAAACUGACUAACGUAAUAAGCAGUGCAACUGAUACGGAAGAAGUUCACACCAUGCUUGAUGCUCUUCUGCCGGCUGACACCUAUUUCCGUUUCAAUCCUUUCUUGAGUGAGGAUAUCGUUUUGGAUGAAAACCGUAAAGAAAAGCUGAAUCAGCUCCAAAUGGAUGGAACUCAGUACCUUGAACGGAACGAACCUAAGCUCAGGAAGGCUGCUAAAAUACUUUGUCAGGAGAAGGACUUGCUUCAGAAAGUAUCCGACUGGUUUAAAUUAAAAGCAGAUAUGUACGAAGGUCUUCCUCUGACUUCCAAGUUGUAAUUUAAAAUUCUCAAUUUCUAAAUUCCAGUUAGCAGUCACAUCAAUGUAAUUCCAUCGUACUGAUAUUCAAUCCAUGCUCAAAAGCUUAAAAACAAUCAGGAAUCUGAGCUGAAACUGAAUUAGCUCUGUUUUGUAAGUAGCAGUGCUGCUUAUCCUGUAGAUUAUUCAUCAAGUUUCAUUCUCAUCAUGCUUGUAAAAUGUGCUUCCUAUGAGUGCAACUGGCGCUCCCGUAAUGCUCAGCGUAUUUUGUGAUUAUAGUGAAUCUAUUUUGCGUUGGUUGAGUUCAUUCUUUUUUGUGCCAUAACUAUAUUUAUAGAUGUGAAAAUAUUAAACAUUGUUUAAGCUGUAACACAAUCAUGCUGUUUGAAAGUAUAAUAUUUUAAUCUACCCUGUAGAAUUAUUCUACCACACCACAAAAUAUUCAAUCCCUGCCCAGUAUAGUUUGAAAACUGUAUAAACAUCAGCAAUUUGAGCAUAGUCUAUCUACCAUUCGGCAAAUAAUUCAGUUACCCUGUUUACUGAAAUAAUUGUAAGAUACUGUAACGCCCACUUUCUCAUGCAUAUGAAUAAACUUCCUAGUUUAAAAUUAAUCCAAUGUUUAUGCACAUUCUCGGUUGGUAGUGGGACUUUAUCAAUGUUUUUAUUCUCCCUUUUAGGUUAAUCCUUUUGUCGUUGCUACAUAUCUCAGUUAUAUAACCCUUAUUUAUAUAAUUACAUUCUGUUAGCCUCUGCAACUAGUUGCUUAAAAAAGGAUCACAAUCCCAUGUAUCUGGAAAAGUUCCAACCUGAAACAUCACCUAUCCAUUUAGAAACAUUGAAAAUAGGUGCAGGAGUAGGUCAUUCGGCCCCUCCAGCUAGCACCGCCAUUCAAUAUGAUCAUGGCUGAUCAUCCAAAAUCAAUACGCCGUUCCCGCUUUCUCCCCAUAUCCCACGAUUCCCACUUGCCCUAAGAUCUAUAUCUAACUCUCCUUUGAAAACAUCCAGUGAAUUGGCUUCCACUGUCUUCUGUAGCAGAGAAUUCCACAUAUUACCAACUCUCCAGCCUGACCCGCUGAGUUACUCCAGCAUUUUGUGUCUCGCAAUCUCAUUGUCCACUUUGCCCACUUCUGACUGGCUCAAUGGCAUAAUAAUUCAGAUUGAGAAUGUUGUUUUAUUUUUAGCUUUCCUUAGCUGGAAUGUGAGGAUGGGACAGGCCCUUUUAGCUUCUGGAAUGCUGAUCGGAAUACUCGAUACUGAGGUACAAUCAGAAACGAAAAUGUUCCAGGUCUGGCCAACUCAUUGCUCUUCAGUAACAAUUGAAAAUAUCCAAUGCAGUUGGCUUCAUCAAUGUAAGAUGUGAUAUGCAUGUUUUUAUUAAACUUCAGUGUAGUUUCUGCAGCCUUUACU